UAGUCUCUACAUCGCACAGCAGACAGCAGGAAGAUCUGACUUCAACACAGAUCCUAAGCUGUUUGGAUACAUAACUCCCUUGGAGCGAGUUGGAUCCUUGCCUAACAUCCUACAAGAAGACAGCAUACGCAGGAGAACGAUCUGUGGGAAAAAAGUGAGGAAAAGGCUGCGGAGAAAAAGGCCCACCUCCUAGUCUAACUGUUUCUGGAUCGCUGCCGUCAUUGUCUGCCUGCCAAAGGGAGCUUCUCUGUAUAAGAUGAUUUAAGAACAGAAUGGCUGUAGCACCAGGUCAGACUAAGCCUAUAUUUAGGUUAGCCAAUGGCUUGGAUGGCAGCUAAAGAAAGAAUCACAACAUCUAUGAUAUUUGCCCGAAGUAUUCUCUCCAUUUCCUGUCAUCUGUGGCUCAGGAGCCUCCUAGCUUGGACAAGAUUUUGGUUUAACUACAUUCUGUUCCUCCCCGCUAAUCUGCUUCUCACUGUAAAGCAUCAGGUUGCUGUCUUCCCUGAAAGCAUGGGCUUUACUUAGAAAGUUACCAAAGAUCUAUGAAAUGUACUCUGAUUCUGUCAGAAACAGUUACUAGAGACCUUCAACGUCCAACCUCAUCCGCCACAUGAAAUAGCUACCAGAAGCCAUAGGAAGAAAGGAGAACAAAUGAACGGGAGGACAAGUUCCUGCAAAGGAGAAAAACGCAUCCAUCGUAUUUAGCUACUGAAUUGAAUGCCACAAAACAAAAUCUUACUGAAUUUUGUUAGUUGUUUGCCGCAAAUUCUGCUCCUAGUUUAUUCUAGUAACUUUCCAAACUAGAGUGAAUGUCUGGAAAUUCCUUACUUUCCCUUGCUAUAGGAUUGCAACAGGACACUCAAGUAUACAGCAGCUGUAAGUGCUCUAAUAGACAGCUAAUGAAAUCUCAAACUUUUCUCUCCGUUUUCCUGUCAACUGUAUAUUGAGGAAAUAGCUGUUUAGAUGGAAUAACUACAUCAUUUUUAAAUACAGCCACAGCAUCAACUUGUUUUGACUUAGUGUGUAAGAAAAUAAUCCUAUUUAAGCUUACCUUUGCUAAGCAGCACCUCUUCCUUCCCAUUCCCAUUCUUAGAAAACCAGUGCUUGCUGUUUCACAAAAUGAUUUGGCAAGUAGUCAUUUCCCCCUACAAGCUUUUCCAUGUGGUAUCUCUAAUAGGGUUUCAGAGAUAGCCAUGUCCUGUCUACUACAGAAGUUAGAUGUAGUCAAGGGAAAAAAUAACAAACACGCAACAUAUGCACACUUUUUCUGGUUUUGUAUGUUGGGUUCCCCCCAUCAUGUGGUGCUUAUAGCUUGAACUGGACAGUUUCCCUCUUCACUAUAGGAAGAUGCCACGUGAUUUAGGAAUGCUCCCCUCCCUUUUCUUCUGAAUUUGGGAGGGUUUUUUUGUUUUGUUUAAGAAAAUAGGUUUGCGCAAGUU